rnacentral:tRNA from 1 species
CGCGGAGUAGAGCAGCUUGGUAGCUCGCAAGGCUCAUAACCUUGAGGUCACCGGUUCAAAUCCGGUCUCCGCAC